UCAUUGAAGUUAUAAUUCACAGCUGGAGUAUGAUGUUGCUUGUUAUGCUAUACUUCUCAAUAAUGACAUAAUUUAACAGUACGUAUAUUAACGUUUGUUGAUGUGUCAAUAAGUUUAUAUUUUUGUGAAAAAAAGAGUUACACAUUUUAAAAAGAAAUAUUUGUUUAACUGAGAACCGUGUGCUAGUCUAGAAUUUGAGUUUCUGUUACAAACUCUACACAUUCAUCCAACAAUAGAGAUACAUCAGUUCUGUAUAAAUUGACUUGAGUGUCAUAGUAAUACAUUCUCUAAUGAAUAGAUAAAGACUAUGACACUGGAGUGGAACAAUCAGUCAAAACUUUCAAAGUCCUGCUUCUAUUUGUUUUAUUUUUCUCAGCCCUACAGUUUAGCAAGACCUUGACCCAAUUGGAUGCUGUACAACAACAAAUAACUAGCUCCUUCAAGAAUAAUGAGAGUUUACUUCAAGAGCUUCAAGACAAUUUUUCUAAGAAUAUGGAAAUGAUCAAGGCCAACAUAGCAAGUCUUGAUCAAAGAAUGGAAGCUCUGAAGAAGUGAUUCCUGAUGUUGAUUCUCUUCAUUGGUGAUUUCUAAACUUCUAUUGCAUUGUUUCUUCUUCUUCAGCCUGUUGAAAAAAAUAAUUGUAAAUAAGGCUUUACAGUAUUUAUUUGUUGAAGAAUUCAAUUCGUAUAUAUAUUGGAAAUGGAUUUUUAACUGAUUUAUUACAGCUGGAAAACGUAACUUCUCUUUUGUACAACAUAGGUGAUUUAUUUCGUUUAUAUUUUCUCUAGAAUGUUUAUAAAACUUCCUCACCGUUUGUUCUUUAAGUAAAAAAUCUAACUUUUUUUUGUGUAUAUUAACAUUACAAAGUGUUUUGUGAUGAAAUGGUAUACUCUCACCUGUUAUUAGAUGGUUGAAUCACAGCUAAUUUAGCUCCAAAGAUUAAUGUCAGAGAUCAAACCAUUUAAACCUGUGUCGUACUACAAGUAACAUGAGAUAAUAGUCUUAUUUUAGUUUCGUUGACAGAAAUGUUUAAACUUUAGUUGAAGUACCAAUGUCUGAGAAUACUGUUUUCUUUUAAAGUUUCGUGUGUAGUCCCUGCAUCGAAAAGUAUUUUGUAUUGAAGAAAUUGCUGUAUUAUCCAGUUCUUUCUUGUUUUCUAACCAACCUAACGACCAGAAGGCAUGAAAGUUUAAUAGACAGCUACUUGAUGUUUCUCCAUGAUAAGCAACUAAUGUUUAGUGUGAAGAUGUUGAACUAACAAAAUAUUGAAUUGUGUUGUGUAAAACUGGGAUUCCCCAGCAACUCUGUAGUUUCAAACUGAUAUCACUCGAAUAAAUUAUUCUGAAUCUA